GAUCUUUGUCUGCGGCAGCUACACAUGCAGUCGAGCGGUAGCACAGAGGAGCUUGCUCCUUGGGUGACGAGCGGCGGACGGGUGAGUAAUGUCUGGGAAACUGCCUGAUGGAGGGGGAUAACUACUGGAAACGGUAGCUAAUACCGCAUAACCUCGCAAGAGCAAAGAGGGGGACCUUAGGGCCUCUCGCCAUCAGAUGUGCCCAGAUGGGAUUAGCUAGUAGGUGAGGUAAUGGCUCACCUAGGCGACGAUCCCUAGCUGGUCUGAGAGGAUGACCAGCCACACUGGAACUGAGACACGGUCCAGACUCCUACGGGAGGCAGCAGUGGGGAAUAUUGCACAAUGGGCGCAAGCCUGAUGCAGCCAUGCCGCGUGUGUGAAGAAGGCCUUCGGGUUGUAAAGCACUUUCAGCGAGGAGGAAGGCGGUAAGGUUAAUAACCUUAUCGAUUGACGUUACUCGCAGAAGAAGCACCGGCUAACUCCGUGCCAGCAGCCGCGGUAAUACGGAGGGUGCAAGCGUUAAUCGGAAUGACUGGGCGUAAAGCGCACGCAGGCGGUCUGUUAAGUUGGAUGUGAAAUCCCCGGGCUUAACCUGGGAACUGCAUUCAAAACUGACAGGCUAGAGUCUUGUAGAGGGGGGUAGAAUUCCAGGUGUAGCGGUGAAAUGCGUAGAGAUCUGGAGGAAUACCGGUGGCGAAGGCGGCCCCCUGGACAAAGACUGACGCUCAGGUGCGAAAGCGUGGGGAGCAAACAGGAUUAGAUACCCUGGUAGUCCACGCUGUAAACGAUGUCGAUUUGGAGGUUGUGCCCUUGAGGCGUGGCUUCCGGAGCUAACGCGUUAAAUCGACCGCCUGGGGAGUACGGCCGCAAGGUUAAAACUCAAAUGAAUUGACGGGGGCCCGCACAAGCGGUGGAGCAUGUGGUUUAAUUCGAUGCAACGCGAAGAACCUUACCUACUCUUGACAUCCACAGAAUUCGGUAGAGAUACCUUAGUGCCUUCGGGAACUGUGAGACAGGUGCUGCAUGGCUGUCGUCAGCUCGUGUUGUGAAAUGUUGGGUUAAGUCCCGCAACGAGCGCAACCCUUAUCCUUUGUUGCCAGCGAUUCGGUCGGAACUCAAAGGAGA
rnacentral:rRNA from 1 species